UGCUCUGCCAAACACGCCCAUAGCUCGUGCGCGUGCGUAACGCGACAGAACUAAUAUGGCCACCGCUGAUAUUCAGUGGAAAUGAACAAUGGAGCAUGACAUGUCUUUCCUGAGACGGUGGUGGUGUGUUUUCCUGGUGGAAAACCUUGGGCUGGAAGGGUAUGGGAGGAAGUUCGCCCACUUUAUUGAGGAAGGAAAAUCAACCCUCCGAAACAAUGUUCAUGUCCCACCUGUCUUCAGAAAACGAAACGAAAAAGGACACUUUCAAGCUGCACAGUGAUGCCAUUGGACUCUGACGAGGACCAUGCUUACAAUCAGAGGCCUUACAGCUUGCCUUCUAAGGAGAUGG